rnacentral:rRNA from 1 species
CCUACGGGAGGCAGCAGUGGGGAAUAUUGCACAAUGGGGGGAACCCUGAUGCAGCAACGCCGCGUGAGUGAAGAAGUAUCUCGGUAUGUAAAGCUCUAUCAGCAGGGAAGAAAAUGACGGUACCUGACUAAGAAGCACCGGCUAAAUACGUGCCAGCAGCCGCGGUAAUACGUAUGGUGCAAGCGUUAUCCGGAUUUACUGGGUGUAAAGGGAGCGCAGGCGGCGCGGCAAGUCAGAUGUGAAAGCCCGGGGCUCAACCCCGGGACUGCAUUUGAAACUGCCGGGCUAGAGUGUCGGAGAGGCAAGUGGAAUUCCUAGUGUAGCGGUGAAAUGCGUAGAUAUUAGGAGGAACACCAGUGGCGAAAGCGGCUCUCUGGUCUGUAACUGACGCUGAGGUUCGAAAGCGUGGGUAGCAAACAGGAUUAGAUACCCCGGUAGUC